rnacentral:misc_RNA from 1 species
GGCCAAUGGAACAUGAUGAAUAAGGUAUUAUAAUAAAAAAUUGCAAUCUCCCUAAGCUUCUAGGGGACUCCAUAUGUUGGGAUUCAUGUGAAUAACUUGAUACCAAUGAUACCAAUCAGCUUUAACUAAUUCUUUUCUAUUUCAUUUAUAUAUUUAGCAAGUAGAAAACCUUCUUUUAUAUUGUUUCUUUUCUUGGAUAAACUAACGAGGGCAUGUCUUAGGAAGUUUUAUGAGUUUUGAUGUAUAAUUCAGAAUUCUAGAAUUACCUUAGCAUAUUUUGGUCCAAUAUGAUGGUGCUGAUAAGUCAGAAAUUUUCUCAGUUUCAUUUCUAUUUACCCUUAUUUAUAUGUGCAGAAAAUGAUUAAUGGGAUGACUG